UUUAAGUGCAGUUGUGGUUUUUUUGUUUCCAAUGUUUAACCAUCCAUCUUAUUUGAUAUUUUUUAUGAUUAGUAUUUUUAUUGCUAUUAGAUAAUAAAGCAUCACUAGUACUUUAAGCGUGUCUUAUUUUUUUUCAAUUUUUUCAUAAUUUUUCAAAUAAGACGGACGAGCAAACGUUGGACACAGAAAUCAACAACUACAUUUAAA
rfam:Oryza rufipogon genomic scaffold, chr08